rnacentral:piRNA from 1 species
UCGAAGGUCGCCAGUUGGGCGUUGACAGU